rnacentral:rRNA from 1 species
CCCUUAGAUGUUCUGGGCAGCACGCGCGCUACAAUGGUCUUCGCAAACGGAUGCAUUCUCGAAGGAGAAUGCCAAUCUUGGAAUCUAUGCCUUGGUCGGGACAGUUGCUUGCAAUUUUUCGACUCGAACCAGGAAUUCCUUGUAAUCGUGAUUCAUCACAUCACGAUGAAUACGUCCCUGCCCUUUGUACACACCGCCCGUCGCUCCUAGCGAUCGAAGAGUUAGGUGAAUUGUUUUGAUCGAUAAGAUUUGACUAUGGUCAACUCUCGUUGUGAAAUUCUGUGAAUCUGACUGUUUAGAGGAAGGAAAAGUCGUAACA